AGACACUAUUCCAGGCAAAUGGGGCAGAUCAAGGGACAGGGCAGAUGAAAUCCCUCUCUCUGCUAUAGGGCUGCUGCGUGCAAUUAACCAUGCACAACUCCAGCGGGCGCCAUAUGCACAGGCUUUGUGAAUGGAGUGCCCUGGCAUCGAGCAUCCUGGCAGCCCCUCUCUAUGGAGCCCUGCUCUAGUAGAGGUAAUAAAAUACCAAUGAAAUAGGUGUUAUUAUCCUCCUAUUAUAGACGCCAAGGGGUUAAGUAACUCCCUGAGUUUUUCAGCCAAAAAUGAUGGACCUGUGAUUUAUACCAGAGUCAGCCUGACCUAAAGUCCUCGCAGUUCACCUGUGCUGUAAAAUGUGUACGUGCCAUUCCAUCCCUGGGGCAACAGGGGUGAGGGAAUAACCAGGCUGGGAAGGCCCAGUAGAGGCAACAUGUCCUGACUGGGUGAACCAGGAUCGGCUCUGGGCUAACAGAGCAUCCUGGGUGAGGCUGGCAGCUCUAAGUGAGGCUGGCAGCUCUAAGGCUUGAUAAGAUCAGCUGCAUCCAUGGAAAGGUUGGAGGACCAGCCUUUUUUCCUCACCAGCUGAGGACCUACUCAGAAAGUUCUGUCCCUGGGUCUCUGUGUGCAGCCUUGAAGGCCCAGAGUCAGCUAUUGGUUCAUCUACUUAUGUUUCACUUAUUAGAUGCCUUAGCUAUAUUGGAGGUCAGAGAAGUAGGUCCAGGGACCUAGAGAUUUGUAAAGGUAACCACCAAACUCCUUUGCUUCAGAAUGAGGUAGAAAGGCUGGUCCAGGACCCGUGGGCCAGUUUCCUGAAUAAAGUGAGCAUGUGUAGAGGACCAGAGAGGGCGCUCUUCCCCGGUGAGUUUACCCUGCAAGGUGGAUCUAGUUUUCAUAGCCUUUGGUCCAGACACAGUGCUACUCCAGACACGAAAAGGGCAGAGCCUUGUCCAAGUCCUUCUACCUCUCAUCUAAGUUUUUUUUUUUUUUUUUUUUUUUUGUCUUUUUGCCAUUUUUUCUUGGGCCACUCCCAUAGCAUAUGGAGGUUCCCAGGCUAGGGGUCGAAUCGGAGUUGUAGUCGCCAGCCUACGCCACAGCCACAGCAACGUGGGAUCCGAGCCGCGUCUGCAACCUACACCACAGCUCAUGGCAACGCCAGAUCCUUAACCCACUGAGUUAGUUAAGGAUCGAACCCGCAACCUCAUGGUUCCUAGUCAGAUUCGUUAACCACUGAGCCAUGAUGGGAACUCCUCGUCUAAGCUUCUAUUCUUAUGAAGGAAGAAAGGUGGCCCCUGGCUGUCCAUCUCCCCCUCUUUGUCUGCUGUCUCCCUUCUCCCACCCACAGAGGUACCUGCAUGUUUAAGAGGCUUCUGAGACCUGAGCAGGGUGCCAGGGACCUAAUGCCAGCUGCUUUGGAAUGGUUGUCCUGGGACAUUGAGGAAGAAGAGAGGUUUGAAGGGUUCUCUCUCUAUGUGGGAUGAAGUCAAAGAUGGCCCAUAUGGAAAACCCUUGGAAGGUUUGAUGUCAACGUUUUAGCUACACAGCAUUCAUUCUUCUUUCAUUGUUUGGGUCUCCUUCUGUGUCCUUCCAUCCUCACUGGCACCUGAAACCCAGGUCUGGGGUGAGAGAAAAAACUGUUUAGGCAAAUUUGUUGUAGCUUCCAGGAGGAAGGUAAUAAACUAGGAAAAAAAAACCACAUAACUUCUCUCCUGGGUCCAAUAUGAUGCUCAUACUUAAAGCUUCUAUGGAUCUUGGGACUCUCCUCUUAGUUCCUGCAGAUUUUAUGAAAGAUCUUGGUGUUUGUGCUGUAACAAAGCAAGGAAAUCAGAGUUUGGGCUGAUAGGAUCAAGCAGCAGGAACACUAAUCUCUCCUUCUUUGGAUUGAGGGAUUUCCUUCUGUUGGAGCCAGAGUUCAUUACCACUGAUAGGAGUAAGCAGGAUUCCUUCCCUAGCUCCUCUGGCUGACUAGUAUUCCUAAUUCCCAUGCAUCAGCUCCCUAGAAGGAUUUUGAUUUCUUCUGCAACAUGAAUCCCUUGAACCAUUUGUCAUGAACUUCCUGGAGGACAUGGAGGAUGGGAAAUAUUAGUGAGAGAACAGAAAGUUAUCUGGGUGCUUGGAGACUGAGAGGAGGGACGUGUCAAAGGGAAGCUUGAUUUGCUAAAAGCAAAUGUCAUCUUCCUCUUGAUUUUGCCUAAGACCAGUCUUGCCUAGGCAGCUUCUGUUUUUGGAAAAGCAAUUUUCCUGAGAGUUUGGGUCAGGGCUAGCCAAUGCCUGGCACAGCUGUUGCCACUGACUCCUCCCUACACCUUAGCACAGAUCCCGCUUUUCGGGCUCACUGGAAUGGGAUCUUCCGGUCCUUUUCAACGCCGUUUCUGCGCAGCCUCUGUCAGUCAGAGUUGACAUUUGCGAUGAAGCCCACUCCCCAAGACUGUUUAGAGUUCUGACUAUGGGUUCUCUAUUUUGUCCUCCGGGCAUCCCAUCUCAUUGCUGUAACUUUCGCAGCUCUUGGAACACAGAGCACAAUUCGAUGUUGAUUCACAGAAUGUCCUCCAGAUCAGUGGCGUUCAGUGUCAGCUCAACUCCGACUGACUCACUGGUAUCUAUUUAUCUCCUCCACUGACCAAGCUGGUUCUCUAGGUUCGGCAGGAGUUCUGGCUGAGACCUCUCAUUGCCCUAUAUUCUCUCCACUACUAAUGAGGCGUUGUUCUUUAAUUACUAGAUGCUGGAUACUAGAAUUGCUUUCCUUUGUUUCAGAGGAUUUAGCAAAGUGCUCCUGAAUAUUUCUUGUGCCUGACAUGAACUGCCAGAUUUUUCAUUUCCAGGUGUGCGAAGGUCACUGAGCUGGCGACCAGGAGAGAUUAAAGUUAGCUGAGAAUCUGAGUGAAGGGAGACUAAGGAAAGUGAUGCCUUGAACCUCAAGCGAAGUCCACCUUCAUCCUCGAAGCCUUCAAACACUUUGAUGCAAUCCCUUGAUAGUUCGCUGCCUUAUUUACAGUGAAAAACAGCCAGAAUGUGGGAGAAAUAGAUGCUCCAGGUAACUCAAUAUUCUAAUUGAUGAAAAUGAAUGAAAUUAAGAUAUUAAAUCGCUAAUAGCCCUUGCUAUAAAAAACCAUCCCAACAUGGAUGAGUCUAAAUUUCCUACCUCAGGGUUUCCUACCUCCUGAACAUAACUGAGUCCUUAAUGAUUCAGUUUUAAGGCCUCAGGGUCUGAAUCCUGAGAAGCAGAGGGUGGAGGAAAUUUGCGGAAGUUGUUGGCUGGCUUUGGAAGCCAUCAAAAAGUUGUCUAUUUUGGAUUAUAUCCAAGAGUUUUUUCUUUCUUCCUUUUUUUUUUUUUUUUUUUUUUUAAAGCCAAUUGCUUCUUUCUCAUGAAAACUGAAAAGUUAAGGAGGGUAGAAGGUAGUUGGAAUUCCAAUCAAUGAAUGAGAUUUUUCUCCAUGGUUGGAGAUGCUUACGUCUGAGGGCAAAAUGAAUGUCUAGUCCUGUCAAUCAGUUUUGGUCACAUUCAGUGUAAUUGGCUUGAAGCUGCAAGGGCCAUUAUCAACAGAACCAUCCUCCCAACACAUUCUGUGGUCCUGAGAAGUCACCAACCUCUCUGAGCCUCAGUGUCCUCUUCUUUAAAAUGGACAGUCAGUCAAGGCAAGACAUUGAACCCAAAGAGGAAAGGUAUUAUUUUUAUUAUUAUUCAUUAUUAUUAUUGUCUAAACUUGUAGAAAGACAUUACACAUAUUUUCAAGCUCAUAUUGAAAUUUGUUUUUUAAUAUAAAGUUUAUUGGUUUUUUCCAUGAUCAACUAGAUAUAUUCCUUGAAUACAUUUCAAGACCAUAAAC
rnacentral:lncRNA from 1 species